UCUUUGACUGUAUUAUUGCAUGUCUCAUAUACUCUUCUCACUUACAGCUUGGUCGACAUAAAGCCCCAAAAAAGUAAUUUAGCCAUCAAAGAAAAAAGCAGAUUUAAAAAGGAA